rnacentral:lncRNA from 1 species
AUGGGAGCUUGGGGAGCGGAGCAAACCCCACCCUUAAAGACAACAAAACAGGUGCAGAGGCUGCGGGCGAUAGUCCUGCAGGGGAGGGGACUGGAGGAGAAGUUUUGGUCGCGAGAGAGCAGGAACAGUGUCCAGGGUCUCUCCGCCGCCUCCCAGGCUUGCAAGCCCUCACAGCCAGACCCUACCCAGAGGGGCGCCCCCUCGCGGGUCCCCAGCCACCACCUGCAGCUGCUGCUGUCACCUACUGUGCCACCCCCAAGUUUGAUACUCUGGGCAUUUGCACCAACCCUACCUCCCUUUCCUUCCACGAAUUUCUCCCUUUGCUCUCUACCCCCCGGUUCCGCGAGAGAUGGCCCGGCGAAGACAGACCUCCUGGACUUGAGGCCAAGUUCACCAAAUCCGCCCCGGGGAAAGGUGAGGGCAAAGGCGGGGUGGACCGAUCCAGCUGCGGCUGAGUGGCUGCAGUCCCGAGCAGGGCAGGCGAGCGCAGGAGAACUCAGGAGCAGAGAUGGGGAGCUGGAUCUGCGCAGAACCCCGGAAAAGCGCCAGCAGGAUUGCACCGAGAACAAAUCCUCCGCUCCCUCGCCCAGGGCUGGGACGCAGUGCGCUGGUGUUCCUCUAGCUGGGCGGUCCCUGUGCUCCGAACAAGAAGCUGACUUCUGGAUUCUUCACUCUUUGAUCCUGACCCAAGCCACUCGUGCCAUCAGGAGCGCAUGCCUCUGGAAUACUCGCUCCUGUCUCCUUGUGGUGAAACCUUCCGCUGAUGCCCAGAGUCUCCCAGGCUGAAUUAGUGGGUAGGAGCAAAACAGGAUGGUGGAGACAAUCAGCAGAGCAGCAGCGUCUGUUUCCUCGGGAUUCCUCCCAGGAACCCUAUUCGAAGCCAUUCCUUCUAAAAGUUUGCAGCCAGUCUCUCUUUCCUUUGUUCGUUUUUAGAGGAGGCAGUAGAGCUACCUACAUGAAAAAAACCAAAGCCUGAUACUGAUAACCUAAGUCU